rnacentral:rRNA from 1 species
AACGCGAAGAACCUUACCAAGGCUUGACAUCCCUCUGACCGGUUUAGAGAUAGACCUUUCCCUUCGGGGACAGAGGUGACAGGUGGUGCAUGGUUGUCGUCAGCUCGUGUCGUGAGAUGUUGGGUUAAGUCCCGCAACGAGCGCAACCCUUAUCUUUAGUUGCCAGCAUUUAGUUGGGCACUCUAGAGAGACUGCCGGUGACAAACCGGAGGAAGGUGGGGAUGACGUCAAAUCAUCAUGCCCCUUAUGUCUUGGGCUACACACGUGCUACAAUGGGUGAUACAAAGGGCUGCGAGACCGCGAGGUUAAGCCAAUCCCAAAAAGUCACUCUCAGUUCGGAUUGUAGGCUGCAACUCGCCUACAUGAAGUCGGAAUCGCUAGUAAUCGCAGAUCAGCAUGCUGCGGUGAAUACGUUCCCGGGUCUUGUACACACGC